UGAGCUUGAUCCUGGCUCAGAUUGAACGCUGGCGGCAGGCCUAACACAUGCAAGUCGAGCGGAAACGAUGGAAGCUUGCUUCCAGGCGUCGAGCGGCGGACGGGUGAGUAAUGCAUGGGAAUCUGCCCGAUAGUGGGGGAUAACCUGGGGAAACCCAGGCUAAUACCGCAUACGUCCUACGGGAGAAAGCAGGGGAUCUUCGGACCUUGCGCUAUCGGAUGAGCCCAUGUCGGAUUAGCUUGUUGGUGAGGUAAUGGCUCACCAAGGCGACGAUCCGUAGCUGGUCUGAGAGGAUGAUCAGCCACAUCGGGACUGAGACACGGCCCGAACUCCUACGGGAGGCAGCAGUGGGGAAUAUUGGACAAUGGGCGAAAGCCUGAUCCAGCCAUGCCGCGUGUGUGAAGAAGGCCCUCGGGUUGUAAAGCACUUUCAGUGGGGAAGAAAGCCUUGGGAUUAAUACUCCCGAGGAAGGACAUCACCCACAGAAGAAGCACCGUGCUAACU
rnacentral:rRNA from 1 species